AUGUAUGUUUACAUGUGUGUUUACAUGUAUGUGUAUGUGUUUACAUGUAUGUGUGCAUGUGUAUGGAAGCCAGAAGUUAAUGUCUUGUGUCUUCUUCAGCCAUUCCAUACCAUAGGUUUUGCGACAGCGUCUCUCUCCUGGGCUAAAGGAGCCUAUCUCUACCUCCCUGGCACUGGGAUUAUAGAUACACACUGUUGUACCUAGCUUCUUGUGCAGUUGCUGGGGUUUUAAAGUCACAUUCUUGUGCUGAGCAGCAAGCAAAUCACCUACUAAGCCAUCUCCUCAGCCUUGGACAUUGCAGUUUUUGAUGUUAUUUAAUAGCAGAAUGUCUAAUAUUGUAUGCUGGGCUCCAUAGCUUACACAACACUCUUGCCAUGUGUCCUCUCUUGUUUUCGAUGGCGCUGUAACACACUGUAAUGACUCAACAGCUUAAAGCUCUGGUUCCAACUUGGGUUCUAUGCAAGUGCCACUCACGGCAGCCAUCCUGUCCCAUCCUUCACUGCUUCCUGCUCGGGCAGGUCAAAAUUUGCUGAGGGAAGGAGUGGCCAAAUGGCCAGGUGUGCUGGUUCACAGCCUGGAAUGGGCAGCUGUCAAAUGAACUUUGUCCGUGUUUUCAGAAUUUUAUCUCCCUGCACUCCUGAGUGUGCGCCCGUGGGCGUGAGCCUUAAGAUCAAAGGCUUGUUUCCAGGCUCUGCGCCUCUCCCUGAAGACACCCUCCAAGGUCCCUGGAGCUGUUAGGCAGCUGCCUUGAUAGAAGCUGCGUUGCUAUGUGGUACCAGGUGUGUGUUUAAGCCUGAUAGAUAAAUGGCUGUAAUAGCACCUGAGAGGUGUGCUCCCUAGGUCACCAACUUUACUGUGAGAAAGGAAAUUUGACAGAAAUGGCUGUGUGUGUGUCUGUGUGUGUGUGUGUGUGUGUGUGUGUGUGUGUGUGUGUGUGUGUGAAUGCUGACAGUUUGAAGAUUCUCUCUCUAACCUGGAAGUCAUAUUACCAUGACUGACUCAUGCUAUGGGGGUGGUAGUUGGCCUUGAACUCUUGGGUCAAUAGAGUCUUGACCUUGGUUAGAUACUACUAGCACUCUCUCUCCCUCUCCCUCCCCUCUUCUGUGUGUGUGUGUGUGUGUGUGCCUGCACUCACUUUCAUGAGUGUGCAAGGGAACACGCACAUACAUAUAUACCUGUGAAGGCCGGAGGACAACUUCAGGUUUGGUCCUCAAGAGCUUUCUACAUUGAUUUAUUUCUCUGUCUGUCUGUCUGUCUGUCUGUCUAUAGACAAGGGUCUGAUUUGCCUGGAACUCUCCAAGUAAGGCAGACUGUCUGGCCAGGGAGCCUCAGGGGUUUGCUUGUCCCUGUCACAUUACAAUUACAUGCUACCAUACCCCGAUAUGGUUUUGCUUUAAGUUGUGUUCAAAGGCGGGAGCUUAGGUCUUCUCGACUGCACACCAGCUGAGCUGUCUUUCCAGUAGCCCUGCCCCAACCCCCAGGAACCAUGUUGACCUUUGGGAAAAGCUAUCCUGUUUUGAGACAGUCUUUCCACAUAACCCUGGCCGUCCUGGAACUCACUAUGGAGACCAGACUGGCUUCGAAUUCACAUCCUCCUUAAUACGGGAUUAAAGGUGUGUGCCCUCACAACCGGUUUUACGCAUUAUUUUCUCCACAAAAUAAUUUUGAAGACUGAAUUAAAAACCUGUCUCCAGUAUCUUCCUCACGAUGGGUUGCCACUAGCUGCCUUGGCGUCGGUCUCGGGAUUUGUGUUGAUUUGUAAAGGCGUUCAAUUUUUAUCUUUCGUGGUUUUUUUAGAUAUGCAAAAUAGGAGAGGAAUCCAUGACCACCUUUUUUUUUUUUUUUUUUUGCUGUUGGAAGGUUUUUCUGUACAAGCAAAAAUUAUUAUUGACUUUGCUGUCAGCAUCAAGAGAUGUAUUUUACUCCCUCCAGGAAGAGACCAUUUGACUUUGACCUUACUUUUGCUAAUUCUUCUCUUCCAGUCCUUAACCUCUACCAUUUAGGGGCUUAACCGUGGACCUUCAGCAAAGCCUGUGGCCUUUGUAGACCUUUGUAGGUCUUUGUGAGUGGUGGUGAGAAAUCCCUGUCCAUUUCUUGUUCCCUUUUACCUUGGUAUUUUAGAGAUAUCUGCAGAGCAACGUGGCAGAAAGCAGUAUAACCUGUCUGAUAAGUAGUCCUGUCUAAACAGAGGAAGGCCAAUAAGGCCCUGCUCUGGCACUGCCGGCCUCAGAGGAGCCAAUUGUGUGCACAAAGGGUACAAGUCAGUGAGGCUUUUGGGGAGAGUAGUGCUCACAGUCCAGGAGAGAGCUGAGUUCAAUAGCAUCAGGACUCUGAUGAGGUGGGCCUGUUGCUGUGUGAACAUCUGACAGUUGUCCCCACUCUACUAACCUGUGACCUCAUCUGGCUCCUUUAGAUUUCUUCCUGUAGCUGCAGACAGUGGUGUUGGCAACUCUUCGGUGCAGAAUGUGGGCGGUUUUCGGUUUCCCCCUUUUGCUCCGAAGAAUUCAGCCAUGGACACCUAAUGGAAGUAUAAGGAAAAAAAGCCCUACUGUGGUCUGCUGGCACCUCAGUAGGCUGUCAUUUGCUUUCCUCAGACAAUUCCUUUCCAGUGCUCUAGUUACAUACCCGCUGGUAUCCUGAGGAGAGCCUUUCCCCAAGUGUGUACAGACACAUUGGCUCUGUCCUGUGAGUGAGUGUCUCCUGGAUGCGAGCCCUUCUGAACUUCAUGUUCUUUCUCUCCCCUUCUAGAUCUGGCCCCUAGUGUCCUUGAGACCCACUAAAGAGGAGAGUAGAGAGACUGCCCUUCACAAUACUGCAUUUUAAAAGUGGGAAGCACUGCAAGGGAGAAGUGAUUUUAACUAUGGGUUUUUCUGUGGCGGUAUCUCCCUAUUACAAUAAAAAAGUCAUGAAUAAAUCUAAAGAGGCAGGUUUUGGUCUUUAGGAAGCAAUGAUGAAUGAAAACAAAAAAUAUGCAUAUAUAAUGUAUUGCCAACACCUUCAGCAACAUUUAAUAGAAAAAAAUAUUAAAAACAGAACUAGGAGCUGGGGUUAUAGUUCCAAUGGUAGAGUGCUUGCCUACUGUGUACAAAGCCUUGAGUUCAGUCCUGGAGAGAGAAUUGGAAUGAGGGUGCUUACAGUGAAAGCCAAGUGUCAUUCGCUUCUCCAUGGUAUUCUCCAUGAAAGUGAAAACAUGUUAAACUAUUAGGCUUUGGGGACUUGGGGAUUCUCACUGUUAUUUUUAAAAGGAAAAAAAACCUUCUCCCCCUUUCUUGGUCUA